AGUGAACGCUGGCGGUAGGCCUAACACAUGCAAGUCGAACGGCAGCACAGUAAGAGCUUGCUCUUACGGGUGGCGAGUGGCGGACGGGUGAGGAAUACAUCGGAAUCUACUUUUUCGUGGGGGAUAACGUAGGGAAACUUACGCUAAUACCGCAUACGACCUACGGGUGAAAGCAGGGGAUCUUCGGACCUUGCGCGAUUGAAUGAGCCGAUGUCGGAUUAGCUAGUUGGCGGGGUAAAGGCCCACCAAGGCGACGAUCCGUAGCUGGUCUGAGAGGAUGAUCAGCCACACUGGAACUGAGACACGGUCCAGACUCCUACGGGAGGCAGCAGUGGGGAAUAUUGGACAAGGGGCGCAAGCCUGAUCCAGCCAUACCGCGGGGGUGAAGAAGGCCUGCGGGUUGUAAAGCCCUUUGUUGGGAAAGAAAAGCAGCAGGUUAAUACCCCGCUGUUCUGACGGUACCCAAAGAAUAAGCACCGGCUAACUUCGUG
rnacentral:rRNA from 1 species